GAUGAACGCUGGCGGCGUGCCUAAUACAUGCAAGUCGAGCGAACAGACGAGGAGCUUGCUCCUCCGACGUUAGCGGCGGACGGGUGAGUAACACGUGGAUAACCUACCUAUAAGACUGGGAUAACUUCGGGAAACCGGAGCUAAUACCGGAUAAUAUAUUGAACCGCAUGGUUCAAUAGUGAAAGACGGUUUUGCUGUCACUUAUAGAUGGAUCCGCGCCGCAUUAGCUAGUUGGUAAGGUAACGGCUUACCAAGGCAACGAUGCGUAGCCGACCUGAGAGGGUGAUCGGCCACACUGGAACUGAGACACGGUCCAGACUCCUACGGGAGGCAGCAGUAGAGAAUCUUCCGCAAUGGGCGAAAGCUUGACGGAGCAACGCCGCGUGAGUGAUGAAGGUCUUCGGAUCGUAAAACUCUGUUAUUAGGGAAGAACAAAUGUGUAAGUAACUAUGCACGUCUUGACGGUACCUAAUCAGAAAGCCACGGCUAACUACGUG
rnacentral:rRNA from 1 species